rnacentral:lncRNA from 1 species
GUUCCCUUCCACACUGCGGAAGCUUUGUUCUUUCGCUCUUUGCAAUAAAUCUUGCUACUGCUCACUCUUUGGGUCCACGCUGCUUUUAUGAGCUGUAACACUCACCGCGAAGAUCUGCAGCUUCACUCCUGAGCCCAGGGAGACCACGAGCCCACCGGGAGGAACGAACAACCCCAGACGCGCGGCCUUAAGAGCUGUAACACUCACCGCGAAGGUCUGCAGCUUCACUCCUGAGCCAGCGAGACCACGAACCCACCAGAAGGAAGAAACUCCGAACACAUCUGAACAUCAGAAGGGACAGACUCCAGACGCGCCACCUUAAGAGCUGUAACACUCACGGCGAGGGUCCGCGGCUUCAUUCUUGAAGUCAGUGAGACCAAGAACCCACCAAUUCUGGACACACAAUGAGAUAAUAACAUAAGUUUGAAAACUGCAAUUGGGCCUACUAAGGAACCAUGAUAGUGUUUGGUACAUAGAGGACACUGGAAAUGGUUUUCUUAACUGAACAAGUGACUAGAAUAAAGGAAUUAAUGAACGACAUCAGAGCUGAAAUCCCAAACCAUAAAUCAUAAAAGGAUCAGACAGCAAAGAGAAUGUGAAGAAAUGGAAUGGGCUCCAAUCAUUUAAAGGAUGAAAAAACUUUUUGAAAUACUAUUUCACAUCAAACUUUGAUUUAUAGCUACUAAAUAUUUAACCUUUUUCAUAUAAAAAUUACAGUAUGUACUGUUAUCUCAGAGGCCAAAGUGAUAACAUUUGUUAACCCCAAAUCCAGCAGAAAAACAACUUUUUGCUUCAUUAGAGCACUGUCCCACUUGUUUCCAUGGGUGGCAAGAAGGUCUUUUGUUUGUUUGUUUGUCUGUUUGUUUUUUUGAGAGGAGACUCGCUCUGUGGCCAGGCUGGCGUGCAGUGGCGUGAUGUCGCUGCAACCUCAGCCUCCUGCCUUCAAGCAGUUCUCCUGCCUCAGCCUCCCGAGUAGCUGGGACUACAGCUGUGCGCCACCACGCCCCGCUAAUUUUUGUAUUUUUAGUAGAGACAGGGUUUCACCUUGUUGGCCAGGAUGGUCUCCAUCUUUUGACCUCGUGAUCCACCCACCUUGGCCUCCCAAAGUGCUGGGAGUACAGGCAUGAGCCACCGCGCCCGGCCCAAGAAUAUCAUAUUUUUAGGUGCAUAAUGGUGAUCCUUUGCAUGUUUACUGGCUUAUAUUCUAUUCCUUUUGCACAUCUGCAUUUUUAUGCCAAAUUAAAUAAGGUAUGUUUAUAUAUUUCUGGGGAAUAAAAUUCUUUGUCAGCAUUCAGUUUUCUGCAUUCCCUUGUGAGUUCAAACACUGGAAGUUAUUUCAUUAGAAUUUACUGAAAAUGUUUUUGAGACCAGUUAAAAAUUGCUGUAUAAAAUUAAUGAUAUUGAAGACCCUUACACCAUGUAUUUUUAUAGUAAUAAAGAUUUCCCUAAGUAAUUCGACAUAUGAGUGUGACUGUAAGAAAAACUUCCCCCUUAUUUUUAUCUAAAGAUAUAUGUUGCAGCUAUAAAUAAAAGUAAUGCUUUAUCUGUAAAUAGUUCAUAGUUAAAUUAUGAAAUUUAGGUAAGCAAAAUGAAGAAAAACCUGC